rnacentral:rRNA from 1 species
GACGUAGGGUGCAAGCGUUGUCCGGAUUUACUGGGCGUAAAGAGCGCGUAGGCGGUCUGUUAAGUGUAGAGUGAAAUCUCCAGGGCUCAACCCGGAAACUGCUCUGCAUACUGGCAGACUUGAGGGACUGAGAGGUGAAUGGAAUUCCUGGUGUAGCGGUGAAAUGCGUAGAUAUCAGGAGGAACACCCAUGGCGAAGGCAGUUCACUGGCAGUCAUCUGACGCUGAGGCGCGAAAGCGUGGGUAGCAAACAGG